CCAGCACCCCGAGUGGUCGGGACGAUUAUUGGGCCUAAAGCAUCCGUAGCCGGUUUUACAAGUCCUCCGUUAAAUCCAACUGCUUAACAGAUGGGCCGCGGAGGAUACUAUAAGACUAGGAGGCAGGAGAGGCAAGCGGUACUCAGUGGGUAGGGGUAAAAUCCGUUGAUCCAUUGAAGACCACCAGUGGCGAAGGCGGCUUGCCAGAAUGCGCUCGACGGUGAGGGAUGAAAGCUGGGGGGAGCAAAACCGGAUUAGAUACCCGGGUAGUCCCAGCCGUAAACGAUGCAGACUCGGUGAUGGACCAGCUUCAUGCUAGUCCAGUGCCGCAGGGAAGCCGUUAAGUCUGCCGCCUGGGGUAGUACGGUCGCAAAGACUG
rnacentral:rRNA from 1 species